rnacentral:lncRNA from 1 species
GACUAUAUAGGGAACUGCUGGAUGCGUGGGUCGGUCUUUUACGUCGGGACUCAAGGGUUUGUUAGGUUGUGCUAGGAGCGAUGGCUCUCGGUGUAACGGAGCUCUUAAGUGAAGAUGCUGAGAGGAAAAGGAAGAGUGCAAAACAUAGGGGAGAAUGUUUGCUGGAAAACGACAUGGUUAAAACCUAACGAUCUUAGCAGCAUCCUGCAGGUUGUUGAUUGCUAA